rnacentral:rRNA from 1 species
UACGUAGGGUGCGAGCGUUGUCCGGAAUUACUGGGCGUAAAGAGCUCGUAGGUGGUUUGUCGCGUUGUUCGUGAAAACUCACAGCUUAACUGUGGGCGUGCGGGCGAUACGGGCAGACUGGAGUACUGCAGGGGAGACUGGAAUUCCUGGUGUAGCGGUGGAAUGCGCAGAUAUCAAGAGGAACACCUGCGGCGAAGGCGGGUUGCUGGGCCGACACUGACGCUGAGGCGCGAAAGCUAGGGGAGCGAACGGG